CAUCGAUGUCGGCCUUGGGCAGGCUCACAUCCACAUCUGGACCUUCUCCUUUGAAGCCAGGCAUGCUGAAUUUGGGCAUUUUCACCUUGGGCAUCUUCAGGUGCCAGUCUGGGCCAUGAACAUCCACAUCGCCCUUCACUUUGGGUCCUUUCAGGUUUAAGUCAAUAUCAGGCAUGGAGAUCUUGGGGGCUUUGAUGCUCAUCUCAGGCAUCUUGAACUUGGGGCCCUUUAGUUUCGCAUCUGGACCUUCGAUAUUCACAUCAGGAACAUCAACGUCCACUUUGGGUCCUGAGACAUCAAUGUCAGCCUUGGGCAGGUUCACAUCCACAUCUGGGCCCUCUCCUUUGAAGCCAGGCAUGCUGAACUUGGGCAUUUUCACUUUGGGCAUUUUUAAGUGCCAGUCUGGGCCUUGAACGUCCACAUCUGGGACAUCAAUGUCCACUUUGGGGCCCUUGAUGUCAACUUCAGGGCCCUUGAGGUCACCUUCCACUUUGGGCAGAGAAACAUCCACAUCGCCCUUCACCUUGGGACCUUUCAGAUGCAAAUCAAAGUCAGGCAUGGAGAUCUUGGGGGCUUUG
rnacentral:lncRNA from 1 species